rnacentral:siRNA from 1 species
GAUGCAGGAUUUGCUUGAUGGACA